rnacentral:lncRNA from 1 species
CAAUACUCUCCCUUAUUACAAUCUCGGUGUUAAUAAUACUGCGCUUGCCAUACCAAGCUUCAAACUGCUCAACUGCAAAUCUUUUAACGAAAACAAUCAUCAGCUCAUCCCUUGUGAGAAUUGGAAUCAAACCGUCAUCCACAACUCUCGCUCUCUAACAAAGUGAUGGUAAACCUCAAUAUACUCUUGUCUUGCAUAGGAUGUCGAAUUCAUUGCUAGUUGGAAGGCACUCUCCCUAUCACAAUGAAUGGAAAAAAAUAGUCAGUACUUUGACUCUCAAUAUGGUUAGUAAACAAUCUUGUGCACCAAAUCCUCCUAAACUACCAUCAUGGUAGCAUGGUAUUUUCUACCUCUGUACAAAAUGCAGCAGUAGGCUGUCCCAUAUUGGACCAAGAAACAACAUUAGAUUAAAGGUUGAAUGAAUAAUUGGUAGGUGUAUACAUAUCAUCAGAAUAGGCUGCAUCAAUAAAAUCUGUUAAAUGGACUGAAAAUUUAUUGAUAUGUUACAAAAUAUUAUUUGUGCAAAGUUUCUCUCACAGACUCUCACAAUUUAAGAAGAAAGAUGAGCAAGAGAACUUGUUAGCACAAGCUAGAUGGCAGAAUAGAUAGAUAUAUGGGCAUACCACUAGCAUUAGGACAAUUGGAAAGAUGAUGAUCGAAGGAA